AGCAGCCGCGGUAAUUCCAGCUCCAAUAGCGUAUAUUAAAGUUGUUGCAGUUAAAAAGCUCGUAGUUGAAUUUCGGGAUCAAUAUUUCGGUCAUGCCGUUGGUAUGCACUGUUAUCAUUGAUUUCUCACCUUCUAAAGAACCGUAAUGCCAUUAAUUUGGUGUUACGGGGAAUUAGGACUGUUACCUUGAAAAAAUUAGAGUGUUUAAAGCAGGCUCACGCUUGAAUACAUUAGCAUGGAAUAAUGAAAUAGGACAUCCGAUUCUAUUUUGUUGGUUUCUAGGAUCGAUGUAAUGAUUAAUAGGGAUAGUUGGGGGCAUUAGUAUUCAAUUGUCAGAGGUGAAAUUCUUGGAUUUAUUGAAGACUAACUACUGCGAAAGCAUUUGCCAAGGAUGUUUUCAUUAAUCAAGAACGAAAGUUAGGGGAUCGAAGACGAUCAGAUACCGUCGUA
rnacentral:rRNA from 2 species